AGAGAUGGGUCUUUAAUCUAGAUUUAAACUGCAAGAGUGUGUCUGCCUCCCGAACAAUGUUAGGUAGGUUAUUCCAGAGUUUAGGCGCCAAAUAGGAAAAGGAUCUGCCGCCCGCAGUUGAUUUUGAUAUUCUAGGUAUUAUCAAAUUGCCUGAGUUUUGAGAACGUAGUGGACGUAGAGGAGUAUAAUGUAAAAGGAGCUCAUUCAAAUACUGAGGUGCUAAACCAUUCAGGGCUUUAUAAGUAAUAAGCAAUAUUUUAAAAUCUAUACGAUGUUUGAUAGGGAGCCAGUGCAGCGUUGACAGGACCGGGCUAAUAUGGUCAUACUUCCUGGUUCUAGUAAGAACUCUUGCUGCUGCAUUUUGGACUAACUGUAGUUCGUUUACUAAGCGUGCAGAACAACCACCCAAUAAAGCAUUACAAUAAUCUAACCUUGAGGUCAUAAAUGCAUGGAUUAACAUUUCUGCAUUUGACAUUGAGAGCAUAGGCCGUUUAGAUAUAUUUCUGAGAUGGAAAAAUGCAGUUUUACAAAUGCGAGAAACGUGGCUUUCUAAGGAAAGAUUGCGAUCAAAUAGCACACCUAGGUUCCUAACAGAUGAAGAAGAAUUGACAGAGCAACCAUCAAGUCUUAGACAGUGUUCUAGGUUAUUACAAGCAGAGUUUUUAGGUCCUAUAAUUAACACCUCUGUUUUUUCAGAAUUUAGCAGUGAGAAAUUACUCAUCAUCCAGUUUUUUAUAUUGACUAUGCAUUCCAUUAGUUUUUCAAAUUGGUGUGUU